GUGUGGGUUGUCUCUGUUUGGCCUUGCAUUUCUCACAGCAUGGCGGUCAAAAGGAACAGGCGAAGCACUUACUGGCUGUGGACAGUGGACAGGAGCUGCCCUGGCUGAGGCUGGAGAGGCCAGAGGAAGGCAAAGAAGAAAAAAUUGAAGUCUGGUUAGCAGCAGCCUCCUGUUUCAGGUGAUGUCCAGGCAGCCUUUGGAAUUGGAUGAGCAUUGGAGGUACCACAGGUGAUGAUGGCUGCAGCAUCCGACUCUGAAAUGAGCACAUGAGCAAUGCUUCUGAGGUG